rnacentral:rRNA from 1 species
CCUACGGGCGGCUGCAGUGGGGAAUAUUGGACAAUGGGCGAAAGCCUGAUCCAGCCAUGCCGCGUGUGUGAAGAAGGCCUUCGGGUUGUAAAACACUUUCAGUGGGGAAGAAAGCCUUGGGGCUAAUACCCUCGAGGAAGGACAUCACCCACAGAAGAAGCACCGGCUAACUCCGUGCCAGCAGCCGCGGUAAUACGGAGGGUGCGAGCGUUAAUCGGAAUUACUGGGCGUAAAGCGCGCGUAGGCGGUCUGAUAAGCCGGUUGUGAAAGCCCCGGGCUCAACCUGGGAACGGCAUCCGGAACUGUCAGGCUAGAGUGCAGGAGAGGAAGGUAGAAUUCCCGGUGUAGCGGUGAAAUGCGUAGAGAUCGGGAGGAAUACCAGUGGCGAAGGCGGCCUUCUGGACUGACACUGACGCUGAGGUGCGAAAGCGUGGGUAGCAAACAGGAUUAGAUACCCUGGUAGUC